rnacentral:tRNA from 1 species
GCUGCGGUAGCCUAGCUUGGUCAGGGCGCCAGACUCAUAAUCUGGAGGUCGUGGGUUCGGAUCCCACUCGCAGCA